GAGGAGAUAACGAGUGUACUCGGCAGCAUGCUGUACAUCGACCGCGAGCCUCUGGUAUCCUUACUCAUGGAAUGCUUGUCCCCAGGGACCAGACUAGGAACACACUCCAGAACAGGGAGGAUCGACAGACUCGGGGCGGGGACAGACCACCACCAGGGGGAGCAACCAGUCUUUCUCUACGCGAGUCCCUCAGAGUGCCUCAUCCGAUAAUCUGGCGUUCAAAGAGCUGCUGCAAAACCACGAGAAACUGCAGCAACAGUUGAAUGAGGAGUCAAGGAAGCACGAGGAACAAAUGAGACACAACACCGUGGUGAUGAUGGAGAUGCAGGACACGAUCAACGAGUUACAGCGGGAGUUAACUGCCCUUGGUAAAGCAAGACCUCCCUCUGAAGGAGUGGGGCAACAGAUUGAAGUCAGUUCAUGGAGCAUCUUCCUAUGAUUGAGGUCAGUUCAUCGAGGUCAUCUGCAUUACUGAAUGAAUCUUUCGAUCGAAAUUCUCACGCGUGAGACAAAAUGUGCAUUCUUGAAUUAACAGGUCGAACUGUAUUUUAUUUAUGUUUGCAUCUCUUAAGGUAAAUGAAUUUAAAUAAAACUGAGUAAAAUGUUACAUAACUACUAAACCAAACUUCAAGUUUUUAUUAAAACUACUUAUGCAAGCGGAAUGUGUGCGCACGUGGAAGCAUUUGCCGGAUGCCUCAUAUGG